AUGCGAUAAGUAAUGUGAAUUGCAGAAUUCAGUGAAUCAUCGAAUCUUUGAACGCACAUUGCGCCCGCCAGUAUUCUGGCGGGCAUGCCUGUUCGAGCGUCAUUUCAACCAUCAAGCCCCAGGCUUGUGUUGGGGACCUGCGGCUGCCGCAGGCCCUGAAAACCAGUGGCGGGCUCGCUGUCACACCGGGCGUAGUAGAUUUUAUCUCGCUCAGGGCGUGCUGCGGGUUCCGGCCGUUAAAAAGCCUUUUUUACCCAAGGUUGACCUCGGAUCAGGUAGGAAUACCCGCUGAACUUAA
rnacentral:misc_RNA from 1 species